UCCGUGCUGAUGCAGAGUUCCCCGAGGGCUUUGUGCAGGUUUGGGGUGCAAGGCGCAGAGCGAAAGUGAAGAGACGGUUUCUGGAGACUUGAGCUGAACUCAGGGUGACAAGGGAAGGAGGACGUGGGGCUCUCAGUGGGGCAGGAGUGUCAAGAAGAUUAAAUGGAUUCAUUCAUGUGAAGCAUCUAACAGAACUGCAAGCACUGGAUAAGUAUUACCUGUUAUUUUGACUAUGAUUAUUUUACAUUGUCCUAGUAAAAUAUCUUGCAAAUGGUAAAUGCUCAACAAAUGCCUGAACCAUUGUUAAGAGUCCAGACAAGGAAAGAGUGACCUAUAUUUAAACCAAGAAGAGAAUGGACCGUAUGGAGAGAGAAAAAUGAGGUGAAGGAAGAGCAGGAUGACUGUAUUUACAAUAUAAUAAUUGUUUAUUUGGAGGAUAAUUUUACUGUAGAUAUGGCAAAUUGAUAGUUAGAAUUAAAAUUAAGAAAAAACUACUGGGUAUUUAUUCAGAUUGUCUCGAUUAAUAGGGUAGAUCUGAUUUUUCAAAAUUCAGUUCUCUGUUACUGGUCAUUGCGAAGUAGAGGGCAGCACAUCAGAAGUCCAGAAAUCCCAGCCUAGACUUUCUAGAGUUUUGUCAUCAUCCAUAAAGACAUUAACUGCAACAGAAAAUUAGACUCCUCUACUCUUUAUGGCUGUAGCUUCUUUUUUCCCCUGGACCUAUAUGCCCUUACAUGCUCUAUAUCUGCUCUUAUAUUUCAUUUUUCUUGUCAGCCCUCCUGCCAUUACCUCCCUUACCAGCCUAGACUGCAUGUUUAUCAACAUCCAAACACCCUGCAUCCCUUGCCUCUGUCCCCAGUGCCUGUCAAAACCCUAACCCUGAAUCUGUCCCAUAAAUCCCCAGCUGGGCACCCCGGAGAAAAUAACACAAAGUUUCAUACAACAGAUUCUUGGUCUACGGCUUCAGCUCACCCCCCAAUUCUUGACACUCCUGCAUCAUUCGUCAGUUCUCUGUCAUGUAACUUUCAGUGAUUUCUCAUAACUAUCUCCUUCCUCAGCUUUAAAUUCUCUUUUUAUUCAAAGGUGACUAGAGUGGUCUAAAAGGUAUUUUUCAAGCACUUAAUGCACGUUCAUAUGCAUCUGCAACUUUUAUGCAAGUUCCUUUUCUAAUUUUAAUUCCAUGUUCCUUUUCUAGAUUGCACUUGAGACCUGGAUGACAGACCUGUAAGGACUGAACGGACCUUUGACAAGAUGGGAUGUUCAGUGAGACCAUGGCAGCCUGCAACUAGGACUUUAUCUUUAAUUCAGAUGUCUUCUAAGAAGCCUUUCCCUAAUCCACAGUCUGAACUAGUUGACUUUCCUUCUGACUUUCUAGGUAUUGAUUUAUUCAUUCAAAAAAUACUUAUGGAGCCUCUUAUCUUAUGUCAGACACUGAGCUAGGUUCUAGAAAUAUAAUAACGAACAAGCAAAUGUGGUAAAAAUCAAUCUAAUAGUUGACCUGGCAAAGUUUAUAUUCCCGUAGAGAAGGGAGACAAAUAAUUAAAAAAUAUAUAUAUAUGGUUCCAUCUGAGUGGCUCCAUGUAGGAGAAGAGCUAGGAAUUGGCCAGGUUAAAGGGUGGAGGGCAAGAUAGAGGUAACAGCUGUGAAGGCCCAGACAUGAGAGGAGAGCACAGUCUAGGAACAGAGAUUCUAGACACAGGGCUGGGGAGGUAAACAGGCAGCAAAUCAUGAAGUGUACUCCUAGUCAUGGUAAGGUGUUUGGACUUCUUCCUAAAGGUAAUAGGAAGUUUGGAGGGUUUCAGCAUGGUUAGGUUUGUGUUUUAGGUGAUAACUCUGGCUGCUGUGAGAAAGCAGAAUUGAAGAGUGGUGAGACUAAAGGAAGGAAAACCAGUUAGGACAUCAUUGUAAUCCAGGGGAAAGGAGAUGACAGCCUAUACUAGGGAAUUAUCAGCGCGGAUGACGAUAGAUCCCAGAGGGAUUCAGGAGGUAGAGGUGGCAGGACUUGAUGACUGAAUUGGGAGGGCAGAGGUGAGAGAAGUCAAGGAUAGAGUUCCAUAAAACAAGUUUUAGUGAAGACCCUAUUUACUGUCGUAUGUUCACAGCCUAUACAACGUAAGACAUUGUAGAUGCUUGAUAAAUAUCUGCUUAGUGAGAGUCUUCUGGCUUGAGCCCUAGAAAAAUUGGGUGCCAUUCUCUGAUUUAGGAAAUGUAGAGGUGAACUCAUUUGGAGAGGUGACUGGUGAUUGAAUUUUGGACAUGCCUAGCUCAAGAUGCCUGUGGGAAAUACACAUGAAAAUGACAGAUACAGUGCAAUUGGGAGAGAUCUCAGGUGUAUUCUUUGUAUUCUCAAAAAAAUAAAAGUU